CGACACGGCACCGCUGCACUACUGGACCACAGCAAGCUGAUGGCAUCCGGUGGAGCUUCGUACGGCAACGACUGCUGCUUACCUGGUGCCCCAACCUUGGAUGAAUGUAGAAGCCCGGAACGAGUAUUUAUAUAGAGCAAAAUAAACAUUUCAUCAUU
rnacentral:lncRNA from 1 species